AGUGAACGCUGGCGGUAGGCCUAACACAUGCAAGUCGAACGGCAGCACAGUAAGAGCUUGCUCUUACGGGUGGCGAGUGGCGGACGGGUGAGGAAUACAUCGGAAUCUACUUUUUCGUGGGGGAUAACGUAGGGAAACUUACGCUAAUACCGCAUGCGACCUACGGGUGAAAGCAGGGGAUCUUCGGACCUUGCGCGAUUGAAUGAGCCGAUGUCGGAUUAGCUAGUUGGCGGGGUAAAGGCCCACCAAGGCGACGAUCCGUAGCUGGUCUGAGAGGAUGAUCAGCCACACUGGAACUGAGACACGGUCCAGACUCCUACGGGAGGCAGCAGUGGGGAAUAUUGGACAAUGGGCGCAAGCCUGAUCCAGCCAUACCGCGCGGGUGAAGAAGGCCUUCGGGUUGUAAAGCCCUUUUGUUGGGAAAGAAAAGCAGCAGGUUAAUACCCCGCUGUUCUGACGGUACCCAAAGAAUAAGCACCGGCUAACUUCGUG
rnacentral:rRNA from 1 species